rnacentral:rRNA from 1 species
AGUGAACGCUGGCGGUAGGCCUAACACAUGCAAGUCGAACGGCAGCACAGUAAGAGCUUGCUCUUACGGGUGGCGAGUGGCGGACGGGUGAGGAAUACAUCGGAAUCUACUUUUUCGUGGGGGAUAACGUAGGGAAACUUACGCUAAUACCGCAUACGACCUACGGGUGAAAGUAGGGGAUCUUCGGACCUUGCGCGAUUGAAUGAGCCGAUGUCGGGUUAGCUAGUUGGCGGGGUAAAGGCCCACCAAGGCGAGGAUCCGUAGCUGGUCUGAGAGGAUGAUCAGCCACACUGGAACUGAGACACGGUCCAGACUCCUACGGGAGGCAGCAGUGGGGAAUAUUGGACAAUGGGCGCAAGCCUGAUCCAGCCAUACCGCGUGGGUGAAGAAGGCCUUCGGGUUGUAAAGCCCUUUUGUUGGGAAAGAAAAGCAGCAGGUUAAUACCCCGCUGUUCUGACGGUACCCAAAGAAUAAGCACCGGCUAACUUCGUG